AACGAACGCUGGCGGCAUGCCUAACACAUGCAAGUCGAACGAGACCUUCGGGUCUAGUGGCGCACGGGUGCGUAACGCGUGGGAACCUGCCCUUAGGUUCGGAAUAACUCCCCGAAAGGGGUGCUAAUACCGGAUAAUGUCUUCGGACCAAAGAUUGAUCGCCUUUGGAUGGGCCCGCGUUGGAUUAGCUAGUUGUUAGGGUAAAAGCCUACCAAGGCGACGAUCCAUAGCUGGUCUGAGAGGAUGAUCAGCCACACUGGGACUGAGACACGGCCCAGACUCCUACGGGAGGCAGCAGUGGGGAAUAUUGGACAAUGGGCGAAAGCCUGAUCCAGCAAUGCCGCGUGAGUGAUGAAGGCCUUAGGGUUGUAAAGCUCUUUUACCCGGGAUGAUAAUGACAGUACCGGGAGAAUAAGCUCCGGCUAACUCCGUG
rnacentral:rRNA from 1 species